rnacentral:rRNA from 1 species
AGUGAACGCUGGCGGUAGGCCUAACACAUGCAAGUCGAACGGCAGCACAGUAAGAGCUUGCUCUUACGGGUGGCGAGUGGCGGACGGGUGAGGAAUACAUCGGAAUCUACUUUUUCGUGGGGGAUAACGUAGGGAAACUUACGCUAAUACCGCAUACGACCUACGGGUGAAAGCAGGGGAUCUUCGGACCUUGCGCGAUUGAAUGAGCCGAUGUCGGAUUAGCUAGUUGGCGGGGUAAAGGCCCACCAAGGCGACGAUCCGUAGCUGGUCUGAGAGGAUGAUCAGCCACACUGGAACUGAGACACGGUCCAGACUCCUACGGGAGGCAGCAGUGGGGAAUAUUGGACAAUGGGCGCAAGCCUGAUCCAGCAAUACCGCGUGGGUGAAGAAGGCCUUCGGGUUGUAAAGCUCUUUUGUUGGGAAAGAAAAGCAGCAGGUUAAUACCCGGCUGUUCUGACGGUACCCAAAGAAUAAGCACCGGCUAACUUCGUG